GUUCUGGGGCGGGCACCUAAGGGAAUGGGACCAGUAACUGUCACUCUGUGGCUGCCGGUCUCGCCCUCCAGGCUCCGCCCCCUCCUGGCCUCCGAGACGUUUUGGCAUUGGUUUUUCUGUGCCCAUCAGCGUGUUUUUGCCUGUUUGCUUGUUUGUUUGAAUAUAGGGCCUUAGCUCCCAGAGCUAAGGAAUCCUCAGGAAUGCGCUUGUCGGACGGUGCCUCUCCUCUUAGAUCCUCCUGUCAGGACCUCCAGGGGACGCCACGAAUCCAUAGCAGCCUUCCCUGCCGGGCCAGGCCUACUCACCUCGACCGAGCUCGGGGGCCCAGCAAACAUGGUUUCGGAGUCCUCAUCUGGAAAAUGAGGAAGUCAGAAGACUUCGAUGGAACGAUGGAGGCAAAGCAUGCUAUAGCACAAGGUGAAAACUUACUAAGUAGCAUUGUUGUUGUUGUUGAUGAUAUUAUUAUUAUUAUUACUGAAUGUGAGUUUUGUCAUCAAAGCAAGGCCAGAGCCAAGGCAGAGGACUCAGAAUGCUGUGGUAAAGAUGUGGGUGCCUUUUUUUUGUGUGUAUGUGAUGUAUAAUAUGUGGAUAUUUUUGUGAGGUGUUAAUGAACAUUUACAUUUCAUUGUGUAUUCCAUCCCUGCAAGAGUGACUGAGGAUGUGUUUAAAACUCUGUUCGCUUUGCAAUUUAAAAAGGUCUUUUAAUCCUUUAUUUUGUAGAGUUGGUUCAUCCUAUAUUUGCAUAGGUAAUUCAUACACCUGGUAAAGAAACUUUCAAAAACUACCCAAGGAUAGCUAGAGUGAAAAGUCUGUCUCCUCCAGCCUCUGUUCCCUGACCCUCCCAGUGCCCCUCCCAGAAGCCAGCACCACAACCAGUUGUGUGUCUCCUCCCAGAACCAGUUUAGGAUUUUACAGGCAGAUUUACACAGUGCCCACUGUGUCCGCCCUGUGCUCUCUAGUGGGCUCCUCUGGAGCAGGGAGGCCUCGCCUGGGUGGGUCUGCAUGUGGAACCUUGGGGUUGGGCUGCAGCUUAGCAUGUCCCCCAGCCAACCACGUCUCCAGCCACACGGUUUUUGCUACCCGUGCUCCCUCUCUUUUCCCAGCUGGUGGCCUCAGGAGCUUCUCUUGCUGGACUUCCCUACCCCGUGGGGAAGAGUGGCUUUUGUAGAAAGUAUACCCCGACGUCUGUAUUUACCAGCUCCACUGACACGUGUGUGGCCAGAGCUGGGCCUGUCCCCCUAGUCCCCACAGAUGGCGUCCUGCGGAACCUUGCCCCUGGGGCCACACUCCUAGUGGCAGGCCCUGGCCCUCUGGAGACCCUGAGCGCCUGGGGCUGACUGCAGCACGCCUUUACCUGGCAGCAGAGCCGGGGGUGGGGGGCUGGGGGGCGUGGCGCCCACAGGAGUCAGGAGGCCGCGCUGGGAGCUGUCUCUCUGUGUCUCCCUCUCCCACAGCUCCCCCUCCUGGACCCCCUAGGUCUUGCAGGCAGCUGGUCUCAGGCAGCUCCAAGCCUUUCCCACCUCAUUUAUGAUUUUCUAGGCCACCACGCACUCUUACCGCGGAGGCGUCCCCAGCCCCAAGGCUGCACCCCACCAGGCCUCCCCGCCCCUCCCCAGCAGCCCCUCAGGCCUUCAGCCUCUGGCUUCCCCACCCCCAACCCCCUCCUUGUUCUUUUUGCUGCCUCUGUAUCUGAUUGGGUACUUUUGUGCGUCUGACUGGGACAUAGUGCAGGGGUAACAUGGGGCCUCCUGACCCUGAGUCACUGCUGCUCCCUGAGUGUCACAGAGACCCAUCGAGCCUUCCAGCCUCAGCCCCCUGGUUCUCUGCCCUGCUCAUGGGCUCUUCUCUGCCUGGAGCACCUCCUACUCUCCCUUUCCCUGGGGACACUGCCCCCCUUCCCACCACUCACCCUUCAAAAUCCAGCCGCAGGUGCACCCCCACACACUGUUCUCCUGCUGGGCAAGGGGGCUCGGGGUCUUCUCUUCAGCUCUGCAUCCUCCUUCCAGCAACCAAGGCUCUGUGAAUGUCUGUAGGACGAGCGGGAGGGUGAUGGUGCACGCUUGGGUUCUGGGGGGUCAGAGAGCCUGUGGUUGGUGUGGCGGCCUGGCCCAGGACCUGACCACUGCCUCCUACAGGAGCGCCAGGUGUGGCCGUCCCCAGGUGGAGGCAUGUUGUCUGAACCGCAUCCCGUGGGUAUGCCAGCAGAGAGGGACACGAGCUAAGGUCUCGGAAUCAUGCCUGCCCCCCCUGGCUGGGUCCUGCUGCACCAGUCCUUCCUAGAGUGUUCCUCCCUCCCCUCUGGGGCUAGCUCUGCUCACGUCCAAGCAUCUUUUUUUUUUAAAUUUUGGUAUCAUUAAUGUACAAGUACAUGAGCAACAUUAUGGUUACUAGACUCCCCCCAUCAUCAAGUCUGCCCCACACACCCCAUUAUAGUCACUGUCCAUCAGUGUGCUAAGAUGCUAUUGAAUCACUGCUUGUCUUUUCUGUGUUGUACUGCCUUUCCCAUGUCCCCCCACUACAUUAUGUGUGCUAAUCUCGUAAUGCCCCUUUUCCCCCCUUCACCCUCCCUUCCCACCCACCCUCCCCAGUCCCUUUCCCUUUGGUAACUGUUAGUCCAUCCUUGGGUUCUGUGAGUCUGCUGCUGUUUUGUUCCUUCAGUUUUUUUCUUUGUUCUUAGAUGAAUAAAAUCAUUUGAUACUUGUCUUUCUCCGCCUGGCUUAUUUCACUGAGCAUAAUACCCUCUAGCUCCAUCCAUGUUGUUGGAAAUGGUAGAAUUUGUUUUCUUCUUAUAGCUGAAUAAUAUUCCAUUGUGUAUAUGCACUACAUCUUCUUUAUCCAUUCAUCUACUGGUGGAUACUUAGGUUGCUUCCAUUUCUUGGCUAUUGUAAGUAGUGCUGCAAUAAACAUAGGGGUGCAUCUGUCUUUUUCAAACUGCAUUCUUAGGGUAAAUUCCUAGCAGUGAAAUUCCUGGGUCAAAUGGUAUUUCUAUUUUGAGUUUUUUGAGGAAACUCCAUACUGCUUUCCACAAUGGUUGAACUAAUUUCCAUUCCCACCAGCAGUGUAGGAGGGUUCCCCUUUGAGUUAUGACUUUUAUUUUGAAUUCUUUCCCAGGAAGAUUGGUUAUAUCUACCUCGCCAGGCCUUCUUUCUGGCGUUGUUUGAGUGAUUUUGGACUGGACCAGGUUCUUCUGCCUUUUCAUGGUGAUAGAAGUUAUUGCUGGUGAGAAGCUCCCCUGGCUAGGAUCACAGCUUGGCCACAGCUGCAGAGACAAGGAGCAGAUCUGCUCUCCAUGCUCUCCUCCCUAGCCUAAGCUUGCUGAUUGUUAUGAAUUGAAUUAUGUCACCCUGAAAAGAUAUAUUGGAGUUUUUACCACCAGGACCUUAUUGGGACAUAAGGGCCUUGCAGAUGUGAUUAAGAUGAAGUCACACUGGUUUAGGGUUGGCCUCUAAUGCAACGUGACUGGUGAAAUGACGUGCAGACCCGCAUAAAAACCCCCAGGAUUCUACAAGUCAAAGCGACUGGCACAGAUGCCCCCUUGGCCCUCAGACCUAAUCCUGCUGACACCUUUUUCUGGGCUUCUAGCCUCCAGAACUGGGAGACCUUCCAUUUCUGUUGAUUAGGGCGCCCUCACUGUGCAAUUUGUGGUCCUUCAUUAUGGCAGCCCUACCAGACUAACCCACUGAAGGGAGGAAGGAGGCCGGCGGGAGAUCGCGGGGCA